UGCAAGUCGAACGGUAACAGGAAGAAGCUUGCUGCUUUGCUGACGAGUGGCGGACGGGUGAGUAAUGUCUGGGAAACUGCCUGAUGGAGGGGGAUAACUACUGGAAACGGUAGCUAAUACCGCAUAAUGUCGCAAGACCAAAGAGGGGGACCUUCGGGCCUCUUGCCAUCGGAUGUGCCCAGGUGGGAUUAGCUAGUAGGUGGGGUAACGGCUCACCUAGGCGACGAUCCCUAGCUGGUCUGAGAGGAUGACCAG
rnacentral:rRNA from 1 species